rnacentral:rRNA from 1 species
GUGCCAGCAGCCGCGGUAAUUCCAGCUCCAAUAGCGUAUAUUAAAGUUGUUGUGGUUAAAAAGCUCGUAGUUGAACCUUGGGCCUGGCUGGCCGGUCCGCCUCACCGCGUGCACUGGUCCGGCCGGGCCUUUCCCUCUGUGGAACCCCAUACCCUUCACUGGGCGUGGCGGGGAAACAGGACAUUUACUUUGAAAAAAUUAGAGUGCUCCAGGCAGGCCUAUGCUCGAAUACAUUAGCAUGGAAUAAUAAAAUAGGACGCGCGGUUCUAUUUUGUUGGUUUAUAGGACCGCCGUAAUGAUUAAUAGGGACAGUCGGGGGCAUCAGUAUUCAACUGUCAGAGGUGAAGUUCUUGGAUCAGUUGAAGACUAACUACUGCGAAAGCAUUUGCCAAGGAUGUUUUCAUUAAUCAGGAACGAAAGUUAGGGGAUCGAAGACGAUCAGAUACCGUCGUAGUCUUAACCAUAAACUAUGCCGACUAGGGAUCGGACGGUGUUAUUCAUGACCCGUUCGGCACCUUACGAGAAAUCAAAGUGCUUGGGCUCCAGGGGGAGUAUGGUCGCAAGGCUGAAACUUAAAGAAAUUGACGGAAGGGCACCACCAGGGGUGGAGCCUGCGGCUUAAUUUGACUCAACACGGGGAAACUCACCAGGUCCAGACACAAUAAGGAUUGACAGAUUGAGAGCUCUUUUCUUGAUUUUGUGGGUGGUGUGCAUGGCCGUUCUUAGUUGGUGGGGUGACUUGUCUGCUUAAUUGCGAUACGAACGAGACCUUAACCUGCUAAAUAAGCCCGCAUUGCUUC